AAAUUGAAGAGUUUGAUCAUGGCUCAGAUUGAACGCUGGCGGCAGGCCUAACACAUGCAAGUCGAACGGUAACAGGAAGCAGCUUGCUGCUUUGCUGACGAGUGGCGGACGGGUGAGUAAUGUCUGGGAAACUGCCUGAUGGAGGGGGAUAACUACUGGAAACGGUGGCUAAUACCGCAUAACGUCGCAAGACCAAAGAGGGGGACCUUCGGGCCUCUUGCCAUCAGAUGUGCCCAGAUGGGAUUAGCUAGUUGGUGAGGUAACGGCUCACCAAGGCGACGAUCCCUAGCUGGUCUGAGAGGAUGACCAGCCACACUGGAACUGAGACACGGUCCAGACUCCUACGGGAGGCAGCAGUGGGGAAUAUUGCACAAUGGGCGCAAGCCUGAUGCAGCCAUGCCGCGUGUAUGAAGAAGGCCUUAGGGUUGUAAAGUACUUUCAGCGGGGAGGAAGGUGUUGCGGUUAAUAACCGCAGCAAUUGACGUUACCCGCAGAAGA
rnacentral:rRNA from 1 species